AUCUGAAACCCUCUUUCCCUCUAUCUUCCCCAAAGCUCUUCCCUCUUUCCCUCUAUCUUCCUUCUUUUCCCUCUAUCUUCCCCGAGCUCUAUCUUCCCUCUUUCCCUCUAUCUUCCUUUUUUCCCCUUCUUUUCCCUCUAUCUUCCCCGAAGCUCUCUUCUCCGAAGCCCUCUUUCUCUCUCUCUCACUACUGUGUUGCCUCUGCCAGGCCCGAACGACCAUCAUCCCAUCGCCGGAGCAGUACACGCGCCAGCCCAAUCGAACCGUCGGCCCUCGAAACGUCGACCCCCUUGAGCUCACCACGACACGCGUUUCCCAGGGCUGUCGACCAACGGUCCGAAGCCGUCUGCCUUUUGUGUUGCUAUAUGUUUGUUGGCUCUUGUAUUUCCAUUUUUAGUUUGAUUAACUUCCAAUCUACAGAGAGAUGCUUUUGCUCAUACAACUAAGAAGAGGUGUUGGUUUCUUUCUUCUGACAACAUAAAGUCUUUUGUUUGUAUGGCUUUUAGAUGUCCAAGAAGAGCAAUAGGUGAGCAAGAAGCAAGGAACAGUCAUUUUUUUAAGAUGGUACUCCAUCAAUAAGUGGAGGACGGUCCAAUAUUCUUCAUCUUUCAAAGCUUGCUAUUGAUUAAAAGAGGUCUAUAUUGAGAUGCAUUUCUUUGGCGCAAUACUAGACAACAUUGACAGUUGAAGUUUUUAGAAUAAAAAAUAUAUUUCACUAACAUUGUAUACAUUUCUUGUUUAAUAUUUGGUGAUGAUAAAAUUUGAUUGUAGUAUAAACUAUCAUGUAAUAUGAUUUUGUAAGCCGAGUAGACUAAAUACUGAAAUGAUAUUUUUGAGUAAUUAAUAAAAAAUUAUUUUGUUGUA